GGCGCGGUAACAAAAAAAAGCGGUUAUGUACCGGAUUGCAAAUCCGGCUAGCCCGGUUCGGCUCCGGGCCGCGCCUCCA
rnacentral:tRNA from 1 species